AACAUCGCGCACCUGCGGGAACCUGCGGAAGGAUCAUUAUCGUGGGGCUCCGGCCCCGUCGAGAAAAUCACCCUUGCCUUUUUCGAGCACCGUCCUGUUUCCUCGGCAGGCCCGCCUGCCAACGGGGACGCAACCAAACCCUUUUGUGUACCUGCAACCGUCUGAGAAGCGAUGAAAACAAUCAAAACUUUCAACAACGGAUCU
rnacentral:misc_RNA from 1 species